AUAAAAACUUAACGAAAAAUAUUUGAAAUGAAAAACAUUGGAAAUAAAAAAAAAAUCACUGCAUGACUACACAUUUCGGGACAAGACGAAUUUAUAAAUAAAGUGGUGUUGUU